UGCCGCGUGAGUGAUGAAGGCCUUAGGGUUGUAAAGCUCUUUUUCCAGGGAUGAAAAUGUCAGUACCUGGAGAAUCAUCUCCGGCUAGCUCCAUGCCAGAAGCCGCGGUAAUACGGAGGGAGCUAGCGUUGUUCGGAAUUACUGGGCGUAAAGCGUACGUAGGCGGUUAUUCGGGUCAGGGGUGAAAGCCUGGAGCUCAACUCCAGAACUGCCCUUGAAACUAGAUAACUAGAAUCUUGGAGAGGUGAGUGGAAUUCCGAGUGUAGAAGUGAAAUUCGUAGAGAUUCGGAAGAACGCCAGUGGCGAAGGCGACUCACUGGACAAGUAUUGACGCUGAGGUACAAGAGCGUGGGGAGCAAACAGGAUUAGAUACCCUGGUAGUCCACGCCAUAAACGAUGAUGACUAGCUGUUCGGGAUCUACAAGCUUGAGUGGCGCAGCUAACGCAUUAAGUUAUCCGCCUGGGGAGUACGGUCGCGAGAUUAAAACUCAAAGGAAUUGACCGGGGCCUGCACAAGCGGUGGAGCAUGUGGUUUAAUUCGAAAGCAACGCGCAUAACCUUACCAGCGUUUGACAUCCUAA
rnacentral:rRNA from 1 species